GAUCCUGGCUCAGGAUGAACGCUAGCUACAGGCUUAACACAUGCAAGUCGAGGGGCAGCAUGGUCUUAGCUUGCUAAGACCGAUGGCGACCGGCGCACGGGUGAGUAACGCGUAUCCAACCUUCCCCUUAGUAGGGCAUAGCCCGUAGAAAUGCGGAUUAAUACCCUAUGUUGUAUAUUGAGGACAUCUGAUUUAUACCAAAGGUUCACCGCUAAGGGAUGGGGAUGCGUCUGAUUAGGUUGUUGGCGGGGUAACGGCCCACCAAGCCUACGAUCAGUAGGGUUCUGAGAGGAAGGUCCCCCACAUUGGAACUGAGACACGGUCCAAACUCCUACGGGAGGCAGCAGUGAGGAAUAUUGGUCAAUGGACGAGAGUCUGAACCAGCCAAGUAGCGUGCAGGAUGACGGCCCUAUGGGUUGUAAACUGCUUUUAUAUAGGGAUAAAGUCACCCACGUGUGGGUGUUUGUAGGUACUAUAUGAAUAAGGACCGGCUAAUUCCGUGCCAGCCGCCGC
rnacentral:rRNA from 1 species